rnacentral:rRNA from 2 species
UUUAGAUUGAAGGAGCUUGCUCCUGAUUGAUAAACAUUUGAUUGAGUGGCGGACGGGUGAGUAACACGUGGGUAACCUGCCCUAAAGUGGGGGAUAACAUUUGGAAACAGAUGCUAAUACCGCAUAAAACCUAACACCGCAUGGUGUAGGGUUGAAAGAUGGUUUCGGCUAUCACUUUAGGAUGGACCCGCGGUGCAUUAGUUAGUUGGUGAGGUAAAGGCUCACCAAGACCGUGAUGCAUAGCCGACCUGAGAGGGUAAUCGGCCACACUGGGACUGAGACACGGCCCAGACUCCUACGGGAGGCAGCAGUAGGGAAUCUUCCACAAUGGACGAAAGUUUGAUGGAGCAACGCCGCGUGAGUGAAGAAGGUUUUCGGAUCGUAAAACUCUGUUGUUGGAGAAGAAUGUAUCUGAUAGUAACUGAUCAGGUAGGGACGGUAUCCAACCAGAAAGCCACGGCUAAUUACGUGCCAGCAGCCGCGGUAAUACGUAGGUGGCAAGCGUUGUCCGGAUUUAUUGGGCGUAAAGCGAGCGCAGGCGGUUUCUUAAGUCUGAUGUGAAAGCCUUCGGCUCAACCGAAGAAGUGCAUCGGAA